AAAUAAGAAGCAUUUAAAUAGAUGUAUUUAGUUUCGACCUAAAAUAAGAUAAAUUUAUCCUUAUUUA
rnacentral:tRNA from 1 species